AUGCCCUGCAAAAAUAACAGAAGUUACCGAAGAAAAUCAUUAAAGCACAAACAAAAAAAAAGAAAUUCAAUAAAACCGUGCUUUGCAACUUUCUUAUAUCAGCUCAAGCCAAACAAAAUAAAUGGUCAGGAUUUCAUAAAACGAAAAGAGGAGUUAAACUCGAUAGCUUAUCAUCUGAGUUAA